UACAGGGGGGGCAAGCGUUGUUCGGAAUUACUGGGCGUAAAGGGCCAGUAGGCGGCCAACUAAGUCCGACGUGAAAUCCCAAAGCUUAACUUUGGAACUGCGUCGGAUACUGGAUGGCUUGAGUUUGGGAGAGGGAUGCGGAAUUCCAGGUGUAGCGGUGAAAUGCGUAGAUAUCUGGAGGAACACCGGUGGCGAAGGCGGCAUCCUGGACCAAUACUGACACUGAGGAGCGAAAGCCAGGGGAGCAAACGGG
rnacentral:rRNA from 1 species